UAAUGGCUGGUGGACUGUUUGCGAUUAGCAAAACAUUUUUUGAUAAUCUUGGCCAGUAUGACCCUGGCAUGGAAGUUUGGGGCGGUGAACAAUAUGAAUUAUCAUUUAAGGUUAGUAAGAUAGUCUUUUGUUGUUAAUAACCUAAUCGGUGAUUAAUUAAUCAUGUUUUUAUGCAAUGAAUACUCUGCGAUAAGACACUUUUCUCUGCUAGACUCCCGGGGGCUAUUGAAUACGAUAGUAGAAUUUUGUGAAUUUCAUAGCAGGCUCAAUAUUUUUGUCUCAAUUUUAAAUAUAUGUAGUAUUUAAAACACGAGAAGGA